GAUGAAGAACGCAGCGAAAUGCGAUACGUAAUGUGAAUUGCAGAAUUCAGUGAAUCAUCGAGUCUUUGAACGCACAUUGCGCCCCUUGGUAUUCCGAGGGGCAUGCCUGUUCGAGCGUCAUUAUAACCCCUCAAGCUCAGCUUGGUGUUGGGGCCUGCCGCACGGGCAGCCCUUAAAAUCAGUGGCGGUGCCAUCUGGCUCUAAGCGUAGUAAUUCUUCUCGCUAUAGAGUCCCGGUGGAUGCUUGCCAUUAACCCCCAAUUUUCUAUGGUUGACCUCGGAUCAGGUAGGGAUACCCGCUGAACUUAAGCAUAUCAAUAAGCGGAGGA
rnacentral:misc_RNA from 1 species